UAAUAUAUUAUGCUAAUUAGAUUUAUGAGGAAUAAAUGGAGGCUAUUGAUUAUUAUCGAUUACUCCAAUGUAUCGUACAUUGCAUUACGUCAAGGUACGUCACGCGACUGACAUACAAGUACAACAACUGUCAAAUCAGUUCUUUGUUUACAUUCCAUCGUUUGGUGGUUUUCCAACGUUUCGUCGUCUCGGUGUGAUCAUAAAGUGCUGUUUAUGGUAUACCUACCUACUUGCAAAGUAAAGACCAGUCGAGUUGAGAGCACCCUAUGCCUCCCCCUGUCUUUUCUUUAGUAUUGUGAUACUAUCUUAGCGAAAGGAUGCUUGUUUGUGUAUUGUGAUCUGUUUGUAACCAUGUCUCUUCUACGCUGCAUCAACUGCGAUAUUCGAGUGACUCGAAUUAGGCGGCAUCUACUCCUGGAAGAGAGUGAGGCUCUUACAGAAGUUAUGAGACUGUGAACAUAUCCAAGAGAGAUCACAAACACUGACUAUUUGCCAUGCCUCUUGGGAACUUGGAAAUGCUCAAGUCAUGCUUGGAAAGUCACUGGAGCAAACAUUGUUGAGAAUCAAGAGAGGCUAAUUGGUCUUCACAACAUUUGUGUAGGAUGCGGCCGCUCGAUUUUCAAUUACUCAAAGUGAUCAAGCAUGUACCGCAUGUUGGUUACGCGCUCAGAGAACUCUCCGUCGUCAGCAAUUGGUUGAUGAGGCCAGAAACAUAAAUGAAGAAUUAACAACAUGUGUCAAUUGCAACAAAGAUUUGUUACAUAGCAAUGGCUACUUAUUGAGAAACGAAGACGAAAAUGUCAUCAACAUCAUUAAAAGCUGGAUAUAUCCUAAUAAUAUCAACCUCAUGGAUAGUAUUUGCCAUGCUUGUUGGCAACUUGCAAAUGAAGCAGCACGGCAAGGUUCUGAGUCACCAGAGACUGCAUCCCAACCGUUGGAGACAGAUGACCCUCCUGACUCACAUGAACUACAGGAAGAUAAUCAUGAGGAGGCGUGCCAUCAUAGGAUAUUGUUGCAACUGUAUUGUGGGUUUGAGGACAGUAGGGUGUUGCUCACAUGUGAUGAGUAUCGUAUGGUAUUUAGCCUAUGCUCGUCACUUAGAAAAUAUAUCACCACCUGCACAAGUGUUAGAUGGAAUUCUUGUAAGAAUAAACAUUGAAUAAAGCAGUAUAUUGAUUUUAA